UGUGUGUGUGUGUGUGUGUGUGUGUGUGUGUGUGUGUGUGUGUGUGUGUGUGUGUGUGUGUGUGUGUGUGUGUGUGUGUGUGUGUGUGUGUGUGUGUGUGUGUGCGUGCACGUGCACGUGCACUCAGACAUCACCAAGUCAGUUUGCUUGAUGUAUGUGCUGUUUGUUUCAUAUUUAUUGUUAAUUAUGAUGCAUUACUAGUGAUAAUUUACUGUAAGCACUUCUAUUAUUUAAUUUUUUUAAACACAUUGGUCACUGGUCUUUGAAAUAUCUUACAGGCUUCUCAUUUCAACCAGUUAAUUUCUGCUAACAUGUUUGAUACAUUAAUUCAUGAGAAGGCUGUAGAGUAUUUUUGAUGUGAAAUGGGGAGCAGAGAACCAAUACAUAAUCUAACAUACAAUAUUAAUGACUAUUUGUGUAAAUACUCAUUAGUGCAAAGAACAAGCCGUCAAUAUAUAUGUGUGCACGAAAGUGGCUGCAAGGAUUCUCUGUCAUUCCCACUGUGUUAGGCUAGAAAAACUAAGUAAAAAUAUUGAAUUAAAAUAAAUUAAUCAGACUUUUGUAAAUUCAUGUCUAAAUAUGUGAAUUAUAAUAUGAUGGAAGA